rnacentral:rRNA from 1 species
UGGCUCAUUACAACAGCCGUCGUUUCUUGGAUCUCUUAUUUUACUKGGAUAACUGUGGUAAUUCUAGAGCUAAUACACGCACUAAAGCUCCGACCUUACGGGACGAGCGCAUUUAUUAGAACAAAACCAAUCGGGUUUCGGCCCGUUCGUUGGUGACUCUGAAUAACUACGCCGAUCGCACGGUCUCGCACCGGCGACGCAUCUUUCAAGUGUCUGCCUUAUCAACUUUCGAUGGUAGUUUAUGUGCCUACCAUGGUUGUAACGGGUAACGGAGAAUAAGGGUUCGACUCCGGAGAGGGAGCCUGAGAAACGGCUACCACAUCCAAGGAAGGCAGCAGGCGCGCAAAUUACCCACUCUCGGCACGAGGAGGUAGUGACGAAAAAUAACGAGACGGAUCUCUUUGAGGCCCGUUAUCGGAAUGAGAACAAUUCAAAUCCUUUAACGAGGAUCUAGCGGAGGGCAAGUCUGGUGCCAGCAGCCGCGGUAAUUCCAGCUCCGCAGGUGUAUAUCUAUGCUGCUGCGGUUAAAAAGCUCGUAGUUGGAUCUGCGUGCUCGGAACCGGUUGGCUCACUGAGUUCAAACUGGUCUCCGGCGCUUUAUCGGCUGGUUUUCCCUUGAUGCUCUUAACCGGGUGUCUUGGGUGGCUAGCACGUUUACUUUGAAAAAAUUAGAGUGCUCAAUACAGGCGCAAAGCCUUGAAUAGUGGUGCAUGGAAUAAUGGAAUARGACCUCGGUUCUAUUUKGUUGGUUUUCGGAACGCGAGGUAAUGAUUAAGAGGGACAGACGGGGGCAUUCGUAUUGCGACGUUARAGGUGAAAUUCUUGGAUCGYCGCAAGACGGACGACUGCGAAAGCAUUGCCAA